ACCUCCGCCCAAUUCCCUGAAACCAAACGAGGCCCGAGUAAGAAAGCCUGCCGCCCCUAAUCCCUAAACCUCGCCUACGCCGCCGCGCUCCCACCUACGUCGCUGCGCCCACCCUCCGUCGCCUCCGUGCCCACCCGUCAUCGCUGCCGCCACCUAUUCUUCCUGGUUGCCCGCUCAUCGCCGCCGCACCCACCCGUCAUUGCCGCCGCCACCUCUUCUUCCUGGUCCCCCGCUCGUCGCUGUCGGAAAUCAAGGUAACCUCGUCGAGCGCUCCUGCAGCAGCUCUCCUCACCGGGCUCCCAGCGGCUGCUGUCCACUGACAAGUGAGCAUGUUGAAUAUUUGUCCUCAGCUGGUCAUAUUACUAGGCAUCAGAUUAAAAAAAGAGUGCAACAAGAGAUGAGGAAAGCGAAGGAGCAUUUUGAGAAGAAGCAAGCAGAAGUUCAGCUCUUGCAGAAGAAGAAGAAGGAAGCAGAGCUCUUGCAGAGAAAGAAAGAAGUAGAGGUCUUGCAGAGAUAGAAGGAAUCAGAUCUCUUGCAGAGAAAGAAGGAAGCAGAGCUCUUGCAGGAAAAGAAGGAAGCAGAGCUCUUACAGAGAAAGAAGGAAGCAGAGCUCCUGCAGAAAAAGAAGGAAGCAGAGGUCUUGCAGAUGAAUGGCGCUACUUUGAAAUAAAACAAGGAAGAUGCGCUUGCUCAGAGAAUGAAGGAUGCUGAAGGACACCAAAAGCAAAAAGAAACCAUGCAGAAGAAGGAUGCUGAGAUGUGCAAAAGGCAGCAGAAGGAAGCAACAGUUACACAAAGAAAUCAUCAAGUGUUGUUUUGAUUUGUUCCUUGCUUUUCUUCUUUCAUGCUUGUUUAUUGAGAAGUACUAUUGUGCAAUAUUAAUCUCAUGUUGUUUCAUCAUUUUGACCAACAACGGAAAGAAGUGGUAUUGUACAAUGUUUUUCGUAACCACAUUACCCCUGUGGCAAAAGCCACCAUUCUAUCAACUGAUCAAAAGAAGAUGGUAGGGGCCAGAGAACUGGGUGUUGAAUGUUGUGAAGUUGUGAUCAACUACAUAAUCAAAAGGGAUUCUCUGCUACCUCGUCCUAUUGGCAAUGUCACUACCAUGGGACAAGCUCAAGGGCGAUCAAUUGCCUGGCUCUACAAACAUAUGGAGGAACACAACAAGUCCACGGAUAAGCUUACCUUAUCUCCAAAUGUCAGUUGAUGCACCUUCGCGGCAACCAUCGAGAGCAGGUCAACAGGAAUGCAGAGUUAUUCGUACCAUGCAAGGCUGAAGUGUCUUCAAAUAUUUAUGAAUGUCGUUUGGGUUUCCAGCUGAAGUGUACGUAGUGUUGGAUCAGCUAGACAUAUGUAUGUGCUCGAUCUGUGUUGCACCUUUGUGAACUUUGUUGAGUGGAUUAUCACGACGUGAAAAUUAAUCUAUUAAUGUGAUCAGACAUUUAUGAA